UACAGAGGUCUCAAGCGUUGUUCGGAUUCAUUGGGCGUAAAGCGCGUGUAGGCGGCUUGGUAAGUCUGCUCUGAAAGCCUGGGGCUCAACCCCGGGAGGCGGGUGGAUACUGUCAAGCUCGAGUCCGGAAGAGGAGUGUGGAAUUCCUGGUGUAGCGGUGAAAUGCGCAGAUAUCAGGAGGAACACCGGUGGCGAAGGCGGGUCUCUGGGCCGUAACUGACGCUGAGGAGCGAAAGCGUGGGGAGCGAACAGG
rnacentral:rRNA from 1 species